rnacentral:rRNA from 1 species
GACAGAGGGUGCAAACGUUGUUCGGAAUUACUGGGCGUAAAGCGCGUGUAGGCUGCUCAGAAAGUCGGAUGUGAAAGCCCUGGGCUUAACCUAGGAAGUGCAUUCGAAACUUCUGAGCUUGAGUUCUGGAGAGGAAGGCGGAAUUCUCGGUGUAGAGGUGAAAUUCGUAGAUAUCGAGAGGAACACCGGUGGCGAAGGCGGCCUUCUGGACAGUGACUGACGCUGAGACGCUAAAGCGUGGGGAGCAAUCAGG